rnacentral:rRNA from 1 species
CCCAUCGAGCGAAUGGAUUAAGAGCUUGCUCUUAUGAAGUUAGCGGCGGACGGGUGAGUAACACGUGGGUAACCUGCCCAUAAGACUGGGAUAACUCCGGGAAACCGGGGCUAAUACCGGAUAACAUUUUGAACUGCAUGGUUCGAAAUUGAAAGGCGGCUUCGGCUGUCACUUAUGGAUGGACCCGCGUCGCAUUAGCUAGUUGGUGAGGUAACGGCUCACCAAGGCAACGAUGCGUAGCCGACCUGAGAGGGUGAUCGGCCACACUGGGACUGAGACACGGCCCAGACUCCUACGGGAGGCAGCAGUAGGGAAUCUUCCGCAAUGGACGAAAGUCUGACGGAGCAACGCCGCGUGAGUGAUGAAGGCUUUCGGGUCGUAAAACUCUGUUGUUAGGGAAGAACAAGUGCUAGUUGAAUAAGCUGGCACCUUGACGGUACCUAACCAGAAAGCCACGGCUAACUACGGCCAGCAGCCGCGGAAACGAG